GACGGAGGGGGCAAGCGUUGUCCGGAAUCACUGGGCGUAAAGCGCGUGUAGGCGGUCGUGUGCGUCGGUGCUGAAAGCGCCCGGCUUAACCGGGCGAGGCGUGCCGAUACGAUGCGACUGGAGGCAGGCAGAGGGUGGCGGAAUUCCGGGUGUAGCGGUGAAAUGCGUAGAGAUCCGGAGGAACGCCGGUGGGGCAGCCGGCCACCUGGGCCUGACCUGACGCUGAGACGCGACAGCGUGGGGAGCAAACCGG
rnacentral:rRNA from 1 species